CUUGGAUUGAAUGUGGACUUUGUGUAUAUUUUUUGUGUAUUUUUUUCUGUGACAUGCUGCUGGUGCCACUUCACAUUCUGUAUGUUGUAGUGGGGUAGAAUCAAAGUGGCCAGUUUUAGAAUACUGUAUGUACUGUACAGCAGGUGACAGAAGUAUGAAAUUUAUAGUGAAUAAUUGUUCAAUUUUAUUGUUGUGGCCGGAGAUCAUUUCAGAAUAAAAAUGUAUGUCAUA